rnacentral:lncRNA from 1 species
CUCUUGCCUUCCUGUGUGAGUCAGCGUGGCUGCCCUUGUGCACGCCAGGCUCCUGUCUGUGCUCCGGGGCCUGUUUCCUGGCCUCCCCAGAUGAGGAAACUGAGGCACAAAAAGGUGAAGUCCUGAGCUCACAGUCAUGCAACCAGCAGGUGGUGAAACACACCUCCAAGCUGCCUGCCUCCUAAGCAUCAAGCUUUGUGGCCCAGGGUGAGAACAGAUUUUUGUUUUUCCAGGUGGAUAUUUGAAAGGGAGGAGCUAAGAUCUACUUCAUGCUCCAAAUAUUCAUGGACCUUCCCAGGACCUCAACAAAACAAAACCAUGAAGAAAAACCUUGACAUGAACCCCAAAAAAACCCAGUCAGCAAUAUUUUAAGUUAAAUUUUGAAACAAAUCCAAACGGGUUCCUCCCCAUAAAUCUACCAGUAAAUUGUGCAGAAUCAGAACUGAAGCCAUGCCCUUUCUUAAAGUAUUGAAUUAGAAUAAAUGAGAACAUCUAAAUAUUUUCCAAAUUCAUAUUCCAGUUAUAAUAUUCAAGUUUCUUAGUUUCUCUCUGUUCACAUUCAACAUGAAAUAGUCCCAUUAGUCAGUAGCAAGAGCUGCAACAUUUCUACAGGUACUAAAGGAUGUGAUCAGAGCAGGGAAGAUGGCCAACAAGAUGAUGCCACUCUAGCGGGUGCCCAUCCAAAUCAUAACCCAUGAAUACUGCGGCUUUAUUAUCUUGGACAACAGAAAGCUGAUCUUGUAAUUGGAUGAUCACCCCUGCUUGCAUGCUUUCGAGUAGUUACGUAUGACAAAAGGAGCUACUGGUUUUGUGAUGAUGGGUUUCUGGGUAAACCCUAGAUGCAGAAGCAGCUUUUAAGCAUAGCAGAGCAAGAGUCAAAUGGUUCUGAAAAAAGUUUUAACUCUGAGAUGACUUCUCCCCGCUUCUUUCACUCUACCCUCUCAAUCCUAGAGCAAGUGAGCAGAGUAGGUAAAGCUGUUUCCUCCAGAAAGAUGAUCCAUAUUUUAAACAGCUCUGUGAAUGGGGCACUAAGACUCAGAAGAUCUGGUUUUCAGUUCGCAUUCUGCCUUUAACUGGUCUUGAAAGUUUGGGCAACUCAAUUAUCUCAUGGAGUCAGUAUUUGCAUCUGUACAGUGGGGAUAUGAAUACCUGUCUUACCUACACGGAGCUGUAAGAGCAACAGAAUGUGAGCUGGCAUGAUGUUAUUAUAUGUAUCACCUUGGUUAUUUUAAAACAUGCUUGAUGUAUUAGCCUCUCUGUUUCCUCUUGAGUUUUCCUGCAGAGAUGUCUUUUAAACCAAGCAUCACUCUCCCAAUCAGAGACAGGGCUAACUAGAUAGACAAAUGAGAAAGAGAAGUCGGGGAUGGGAUGGGAGCACAGCCAAUGCAGAAACAGUCAUGUGUAUUCUUCUAGACAGGUGAGCAGAGACAUUUUCAGGAUUUCAGGGGGGCAGGAUGGAGACAUGGGGGAAGCUUCUGGGUCAGUUCUUGAUGGUGUGGCUUCAGUAUGUAGAUGCACACAUUCUCCUCUAAGUCGAAAAGAAUAUACUGGGGGUUUCCAUUCUUUUGGAUUUUCCAGGCUUCUAACGACCUCCACCAUUCCCAGUCCAGAGGAGGUCAUGGGAUGAUAGAAAGUGGGAGCAACCAGGGCAUGUGCCUUUUCAUUUCGCAGUGGAGGGGCUGAGGCUUGGAAAGAGGGCCUGGCUUAGGGAAUACAGACUUCAGCUCAGAAAAUCUAACAGGAAUUCUC